GGGGAAUAUUGGACAAUGGGCGCAAGCCUGAUCCAGCCAUACCGCGUGGGUGAAGAAGGCCUUCGGGUUGUAAAGCCCUUUUGUUGGGAAAGAAAAGCAGCGGGCUAAUACCCAGCUGUUCUGACGGUACCCAAAGAAUAAGCACCGGCUAACUUCGUGCCAGCAGCCGCGGUAAUACGAAGGGUGCAAGCGUUACUCGGAAUUACUGGGCGUAAAGCGUGCGUAGGUGGUUGUUUAAGUCUGUUGUGAAAGCCCUGGGCUCAACCUGGGAACUGCAGUGGAAACUGGAUGACUAGAGUGUGGUAGAGGGUAGCGGAAUUCCCGGUGUAGCAGUGAAAUGCGUAGAGAUCGGGAGGAACAUCCAUGGCGAAGGCAGCUACCUGGACCAACACUGACACUGAGGCACGAAAGCGUGGGGAGCAAAC
rnacentral:rRNA from 1 species